rnacentral:rRNA from 1 species
UACGGGGGGGGCAAGCGUUGUUCGGAAUUACUGGGCGUAAAGCGCACGUAGGUGGUUUGUUAAGCCAGCUGUGAAAUCCCCGGGCUCAACCUGGGAACUGCGUCUGAUACUGGAUGGCUUGAAUCCGGGAGAGGGAUGCAGAAUUCCAGGUGUAGCGGUGAAAUGCGUAGAUAUCUGGAGGAAUACCGGUGGCGAAGGCGGCAUCCUGGACCGGCAUUGACGCUGAGGAGCGAAAGCCAGGGGAGCAAACGGG